GCGUAGGAACCUCGUUGUACUGCAAGGGUAUUUUUGUCCUUUUUGUCCAAAAAUCCACGUGUCGCCUUGAGAAUAUUUUUGGCUCCACAGGUAUAGAGAGAGGAGGGCAGACAAUCCAUCUCCCAUCAAUACCUAGGCAAUUUCGUUCUUGUUUUCAUGGAUUAAUACUUAGAUAAUAAAUUGUUUCCUGAAAAGUACGUCUAUCAUAUUUUUCAUAUGACGUUUGUAUUAUCUUUCUAAUCAAGAUGCGAUUCAUUUGUUCAAAUGAGCCCUACUUUUCUUAAACAAAUGGUAUAAAUAUGAUAUAAAAAAUGUAAUAAAUGUAACAUUACUCGUCAAACCAAUUGUCGCGUCUCCUUUACAAGAAAUUGUAGCAUUACUCAUUAUUUUAAGUUCUUUUAUCGCUGAAGGCUUAUAAAAUAAACCAAAUCGAGCUAAUUUUCUACUCGAUGCACAACCACUCAAUUCGAAGACAAUAUCAAUUUAGGCGCAAUCUCUCAUCCAGCAUAUCUACUACCAAUACUUAGUAGUGGCCUGUUAAACAAACAAUCAUUUGACCUACUUCCAUCCAAGGCUAAGGAGAUUUUAGGGGUAAACACAUAUAUAUUUAUUUUAUAUAACUGAAGCUUGUUAACUAUAAUAUUAUUUAAUAAUGCACAAUAUUCUGCAACAAUCUUCUGUUUGUUGCAGUUUUAUUAGAUUAAGAAUGUGAUUGUGUAAAUCCUAGUAGAUCUAGGAAUAUCUCUUAUAUUCCUAUUAGGAGUUGAUUACCUAUUAAGAGUUGUAAUCCUAAAAGGGUAAGGAUUUUACAUAUCCUUCUACUAUAAUAAAGGCACAAUGGGGUGAAAUAGAACACACCCACAAUUACACAUCUCUCUCUUCUCUCUCUAUGCCGCACCCUCUCUCUUUCUAGCUUCCAUAAUUGUUCAAUAAAUUAUGUCUACAACACGUUAUCAGCACGCUCUUGACGCUGCGCUAAAGAGAGUUUGAUUUUCAAUCAGGGGAGUAUUACAUUUUAAUCAUCUUUUUAUGAUUAAUUUAUUAUUUUAUUGAAUUGAUCUAUAUGAUAUUGAUUCAAUUUAAUUUUACUUUGUUGAACGUCACACAACGCAUUAGAGAUGCAAUUCCGGCUUUCCGAGAAGGAUCUUCUACAAAUUCAAAGGCUUUUGUUGUUUUUUGCCAAUCAGGUACGCUUAAAAUAAAGGAAGAUAUUUGAAACGACCAUGAAGCAAGAAAACAUUCCCCAUGAUGCAUGAA
rnacentral:lncRNA from 1 species